rnacentral:lncRNA from 1 species
CUCUGCAAAGAUCUUUGUGUGUCUGGCUCUGGGGUGUGUGUUUUUAUUUUUUUAGUGGGGGGUGGUUUAGUUUUUGAAAGCAGCGUCCUGUUGGGAAAGGUGGUUAGUCUGGUUUCGGGGCGACUGUCUCAAGGUAAAGGAAUUUAAUUUAUUUGGGACAAGGCUGUGUCGGAUGAUCAAGCUGCUUAUUAUGGCUAAUGAGUAUUUUUCACCUGAGAAUCUGUGGGAUGAGGUGGCUGUUAUCAGUUCAAAGUGAGGGGCCCCGGACUGUCUCCCACCUGCCUCUUUAGCCCCCACCCUAGGGGUGGUGAUGGACCAGACAGACUACUCAACGUAGGCAUCUGGGUUUGGGGGCCUCCUGUGGGACAAGGCCGGGGGCUCCAGGAGGCCUGGUGCUCACCUGGGGCAGUUUAUCCUGAUAUUUUGGUGUUUUCUUGGGUUUAAUCUAAUUCUUUCCAGUGUUUUUGCCUUCAGCUCUUGCGGGCUUCCCAUGGGCCCUGGCUAUUGAAACCAAAUUUUGACCAGGACCCUCACGUGCUAGGUUGACAAAAGCAGCUGUCUUCUUAAAUGUUUUAAAAGAAACAAGCAGCCCGAUCAUUCAUUGAGACUGAUCUCUGAACUCUCCUGGUUCAUUGAUGGGAUAGGUGAUACUGGUGGCUGUUAGCGUUGUUGUUUAUAAUAGGCCCAAGUUCACAGCAUCGGCCCUUGGGACCCAUGAGCUGAUAUCUGACCUUCUAAAGGUCAGUGGGCAGAGAGACCGGAGGCAGCCCUGAGGGGAUGAGGAUGGGUGGCACGGUGGCCGGUGAAGAAGGGCCUGUGUUUGUUGGGGGGAGGUGUCAUUUGCAGAGUUUGAGGACUGUGUGACACCAGGUGUGAUCUUGGCUGGUCUGACGUGGAGGGCCUGGGGACCUCUGCGCCCGGGAAGGGUGUGACACCCCCUGCUGGGCAAAGUGGUAAAGGUGUCUAAGGCCAAGGCUGCCACCCUGCCCCUCCCUGCCCUCCACUCCCACAGAGAACCUGCCUGCCCCCACCUCCAGUCGGUGUCUCAUCACCUCCCUCUCAGGCCCCACCCCCUUUCUUCGGAAAUGGGGCCCCCACCCAUCCCAGCCAAGAAGCAGACCUCAGAGAUGGGCCUGGUGGCAAUGCACCACCCCUUACCUGGGGCAGGAGAGCCUCUGCUUGUGGGCCAGCACACAGGACCCAGGCAUUGCAGAGCUGGAAGGCAGGCCCUCUGGUCGGCCUCCUCCUAACCUGGGUGCCAGCUGGAGCCAGCGUCCAUCCUCCUGCCAUCCACCAACCAGUCCCUCCAAGUCUGUCGUGGGGACAGUACUCCAAAGCCCUUCUCUAGGGUGUCCUGACUGGAGCGAGGGCCUCCCAGCCCUGGUAGGAGGCAGGUGGCAGAGCCUCUUGUGGCUUCUCUCCUGGGCCUUAGGGAGACUGACUUCUCCCAGCACUCCAGGGACAGGCUCUGGAAACUUUUCCUAGAAGCUAGAAGGGACCCUGAGGUCAGCUGCUUCCUCCUGUAGCUGGAGUAGAGCACUCCCAGUGGGACUCAGGCCUGGACUCUGGCCACUCAGAGGGGAGGCCCAGGGUGGCAGAGUUCUGACUGUUUCCUGGAGGAGUCAUCUGGUGAUACCAUCUCAGUCUCUUCUUUGAACUUGGAAGUUUCACUUAUAAUCUCAGAACUUCAGAAGAAAAGCAGUCUUCCCCCCACUUCACCAAAAAAGGGAAGCAGAUGAGGACGCUGAGAUCCCCUCUGAGCUGGUCCCUGGGCUGACUCCAUGCUCAUCUUCAGGAGCUGGGAACAGCUCCCUCAACUUCAUAGUGCACACGGCAUACAGCUGGGGCCAUGGGCCUCGUCUCUGGCCGGGGCUCGUGGCUGGUGAAGUGAGGGUCCCUUCCUCUGGGGCAGCGUGGGCAGCUUCAGCCGAGGGCCUCUCUGACAUAGUCCAAGGCCAGGGGCGCAGGCCUCGAAGGGCUGCUGGCAUCAUGGACCCACCAUGCCUCCCUGAUCGCCCCAAGGCUCACCUUCUAACACGGCCUUCCCUGAGCUGAUUUUUACACCCUGACCACCCUGGCCGCUGCUCCCACCUCUUCCUCCUUUUCCUCCUUCUCCUCCUCAUCUUCAGAGGGGGAAGGAAGUUGCACUGUAGUAAUUACCGCCCGUGGGUCCCCACGGCAAGCAGCAGCUGUUCUGGGGUAGCUGGGCCAGGGUACAAUGAGUAGGGAGAAGCUGGGAGCAGGAGGAGGGCGGGCAGCCCCAGUGUGCAAAAGAGGAGGGGCAGCCUCGCCGGGACCACCUGUGCAGGGCAGCAGCUUGGUGGUCUAGCGCACACCCCUCUGGCUGCCUGGCCACAGAACAGCACCCUGACACCCUCGACUCAGCAGGAUGUAAGACACCCAUGUGGGA